rnacentral:rRNA from 1 species
CCUGACUGCUACCGGAUUGAUACUAAGCCAUGCGAGUCAUUGUAGCAAUACAAGGCAGACGGCUCAGUAACGCGUAGUCAAUCUACCCUAUGGACGGGAAUAACCUCGGGAAACUGAGAAUAAUGCCCGAUAGAACAUUAUGCCUGGAAUGGUUUAUGUUUCAAAUGAUUUAUCGCCAUAGGAUGGGACUGCGGCCUAUCAGUUUGUUGGUGAGGUAAUGGCCCACCAAGACUAUUACAGGUACGGGCUCUGAGAGGAGUAGCCCGGAGAUGGGUACUGAGACACGGACCCAGGCCCUAUGGGGCGCAGCAGGCGAGAAAACUUUGCAAUGUGCGAAAGCACGACAAGGUUAAUCCGAGUGGUUUCUGCUAAAGAAACCUUUUGUCAGUCCUAGAAACACUAACGAAUAAGGGGUGGGCAAGUUCUGGUGUCAGCCGCCGCGGUAAAACCAGCACCUCAAGUGGUCAGGAUGAUUAUUGGGCCUAAAGCAUCCGUAGCUCGUUUUGUAAGUUUUCGGUUAAAUCCAUGCGCUUAACGUAUGGGCUGCCGGGAAUACUGCAUAACUAGGAAGUGGGAGAGGUAGACGGUACUCGGGAGGAAGGGGUAAAAUCCUUUGAUCUCUUGAUGACCACCUGUGGCGAAGGCGGUCUACCAGAACACGUUCGACGGUGAGGGAUGAAAGCUGGGGGAGCAAACCGGAUUAGAUACCCGGGUAGUCCCAGCUGUAAACUAUGCAAACUCAGUGAUGCAUUGGCUUAUGGCCAAUGCAGUGCUGCAGGGAAGCCGUUAAGUUUGCCGCCUGGGAAGUACGUACGCAAGUAUGAAACUUAAAGGAAUUGGCGGGGGAGCACCACAAGGGGUGAAGCCU